GGAAUCUUAGACAAUGGGGGAAACCCUGAUCUAGCCAUGCCGCGUGAGUGACGAAGGCCUUAGGGUCGUAAAGUUCUUUCGCCAGGGAUGAUAAUGACAGUACCUGGUAAAGACACCCCGGCUAACUCCGUGCCAGCAGCCGCGGUAAUACGGAGGGGGUUAGCGUUGUUCGGAAUUACUGAGCGUAAAGCGCGCGUAGGCGGGCUGUUAAGUCGGGGGUGAAAUCCCGGGGCUCAACCCCGGAACUGCCUUCGAUACUGGCAGCCUGGAGUCCGAGAGAGGUGAGUGGAAUUCCGAGUGUAGAGGUGAAAUUCGUAGAUAUUCGGAGGAACACCAGUGGCGAAGGCGGCUCACUGGCUCGGUACUGACGCUGAGGUGCGAAAGCGUGGGGAGCA
rnacentral:rRNA from 1 species